AUAGAUACGUAAUAUGCAUACCUUGAGUAUGCCGGUAUAAAUAGAAAUGAUAUGCAGACUAUAGCCAUCAGUUUCAUUUCUAAGAGUGUAAAGUUGAAUAUAAACCAACAAGUGAGUUUAUCAAGGUUGCCAUGCGAUCAUCCGUCAAGAUUUUCAUGAUUCUGAUCGUGCUGACGGCUGUCUUGGCCCAGUUCUGUGUCAAGCAGAAGGAGAGCCAUGCGAAAUUUUAACAGUUCCGUUUCCAACAACGGCGUGCCGACUGAACUGCGACGGCAGCCCUUCAUUUCCUCUAGGUCGGUGCGACGAUCUACUUGUCUGCUGUUUGGGUCCAAUUGGUUAAUUGAUUCAGAAACUGAAUAAUGAAGAACAGUUGUAAAACUUAACAAUCAGACAGGAUAAUAAAAUUGAAUUUGCAAUUUAUUUCUA